rnacentral:rRNA from 1 species
GUGUCAGCAGCCGCGGUAAUACGUAGGGGGCAAGCGUUGUCCGGAUUUACUGGGCGUAAAGAGCGCGUAGGCGGAGAUCUAAGCGUGGCCUGAAAGCCCCCGGCUCAACCGGGGAGUGCGGCUGCGAACUGGGUUUCUUGAGGACGAUAGAGGAGAGUGGAAUUCCUGGUGUAGCGGUGAAAUGCGUAGAUAUCAGGAGGAACACCCGAGGCGAAGGCGGCUCUCUGGGUCGUACCUGACGCUGAGGCGCGAAAGCGUGGGGAGCGAACGGGAUUAGAUACCCCGGUAGUCCACGCCGUAAACGAUGGUCACUAGGUGUGUGUGGUAUCGACCCCGCACGUGCCGCAGCUAACGCAAUAAGUGACCCGCCUGGGGAGUACGGCCGCAAGGUUGAA